rnacentral:miRNA from 1 species
GGGGCAGCUGGAAGGGGUCCUUGGUGAGGUCAUGCUCCUCAUUUUGCAAAUGACAAAGCUGGGGCCCCUGGAGGGGAGGGAAGGUGCUGGGGCCUUCU